rnacentral:rRNA from 1 species
AGCAGCCGCGGUAAUUCCAGCUCCAAUAGCGUAUAUUAAAGUUGUUGCAGUUAAAAAGCUCGUAGUUGAAUUUCGGGAUUGACGUGAUGGUCAUGCCUUAAGGGGUAUGAACUGUUACUGUUGAUUUCUCACCUUCUGGAGAAACUUGAUGUCCUUUAUUGGGUGUCUUGCGGAUCCAGGACCUUUACCUUAGAAAAAAUUAGAGUGUUUAAAGCAGGCAUUUUCGCUCGAAUACAUUAGCAUAGG